ensembl:snoRNA
AUCCUUUUAUAGUUCAUGAGCACAAUGAUUGAGUCUUCAUGCUGUUGCAGGAGCUGUGCCCCCCACAAACCUUGUUAUGACAUCAGCACAUUACCUGUCUGAUG